UUUUUAGGUAAUGAACUUGCCCAAAUCUGUCCUAACAAUCAUGACUUGUACUGAACAUCUUUGCAUACUUAUCUUUUAAGUUUUGACGUGUAUUUGCUGUUUGCUUUUGGUCAGGCACUCUUGGUCCCUCUCUGUGUACAUUUUGUUAUUUAAUACAACUACUCCAUGAGGUUAGGAAUCAUCUUUUAUACAGGGCUCUCACUUUUCCCUUUUGGGCCUGCGCACAAUAUCCUCCUAAUCCAAAUGCCCCUUAACUCACACAGCUGAUAAUGAUGGAGGAUAUUCACAGACAAGGACCUAUUCCAGUCAUUAAAAAAGAAACCAGAACAAAACACAGACACACAUCUGUCCUUGGCAACUGCUGUGCAAAGAAAACCACAAUAGUGAAUACUAACAAAAACAUAAGGUAGAAUAAAGGACGUGAAGUGAUUGGUUCUCGGAUGGGG
rnacentral:lncRNA from 1 species